GGGGAUGUGGCUCAGUGGGUAGGGUGCUCGCCUAGCAUGUGUGAAGCCCUGGGUUCGAGCCCCGGCAUCUUCA
rnacentral:tRNA from 2 species